CGCACACCAGAGCCCCGACAGCCUGUUGCCAUUUCCUUUCCCUUUCUCGAGCGAGCGGUUGGCGGCGGUGGUGGCGGUGCUGGAUUCCGGGGGUUUGCGGCGGUGGUGCUGCAGUUCGUUGGUCACGAGCCGUUGGCAGCCGCUGGUUCUCCUCCUCUCCCAACCUCCCCCGCACCACGUCCGUGAACUGCGUCGCGGCUUCGGCGGCUGCGAUUUCCAGGCGGCAAGCGGUGUGUGGCAGCACCAAGCGGCGGAAUCAGCGGGAUAACGUGUUCUUCGAGGCGGGAUGCGGCAGUCUCGAGCGACGGCAGCAGCGGUUCGGGCACGGCUUUAGUCUGUUGCAGGCUGCGAUGGAUGGGAGGCUCCCCCGAGCCUACGCGUGGCUCUCCGUAUAGGGCACAACUUCCUUAGUACAUUUAAAUUCCACAAGUGCAACAUCAAAAGGCCUUUUUCCUGCUGAGAUUGAAGAACUUGCUCCAGUCUAGCUGCAAACCCUGUGGACAUGGCACCGCUUGCUACUUCUUCGCCUCAUGUGCACAACACUCCAUGUACAUAGCUUCAUGUGAAUGGCUCCAACAAGUGUAUAAUAAGACAAGCCAU